UACCAGCACCCCGAGUGGUCGGGACGUUUAUUGGGCCUAAAGCAUCCGUAGCCGGUUCUACAAGUCUUCCGUUAAAUCCACCUGCUUAACAGAUGGGCUGCGGAAGAUACUAUGGAGCUAGGAGGCGGGAGAGGCAAGCGGUACUCGAUGGGUAGGGGUAAAAUCCGUUAUCCAUUGAAGACCACCAGUGGCGAAGGCGGCUUGCCAGAACGCGCUCGACGGUGAGGGAUGAAAGCUGGGGGAGCAAACCGG
rnacentral:rRNA from 1 species